rnacentral:rRNA from 1 species
ACGCUGCGGCGUGCCUAAUACAUGCAAGUCGAACGGUCGUUUCUAUGGAAGCUUGCUUCCACUGAGAAGAUAGUGGCGAACGGGUGAGUAACACGUGGGUAACCUGCCCAUAAGAGGGGGGAUAACAUCCGGAAACGGGUGCUAAUACCGCAUAGUUUUCUUGAUCGCAUGAUUGAGAAAGGAAAGACGGCCUUUGUGCUGUCGCUUAUGGAUGGACCCGCGGCGUAUUAGUUAGUUGGUGAGGUAACGGCUCACCAAGACGAUGAUACGUAGCCGACCUGAGAGGGUGAUCGGCCACAUUGGGACUGAGACACGGCCCAAACUCCUACGGGAGGCAGCAGUAGGGAAUCUUCCGCAAUGGACGGAAGUCUGGCGGAGCAACGCCGCGUGAGUGAAGAAAGGGUUUUCGGAUCGUAAAACUCUGUUGUCAGAGAAGAACAAGUUGGAGAGUAACUGCUCCAGCCUUGACGGUAUCUGACCAGAAAGCCACGGCUAACUACGUGCCAGCAGCCGC